GUCACUUAAAGAGGACGGCAGAUCAAGAGCAUCUCAUCCUCCGGCUGCUGAGUCAUCCUGCUCUGGCAGUUAUUUAAACAGAAGGCUCCAGGAGACAUACAAUCAACACUCCACUCAGACAAUGCCCAGACCUCCAGAAACCAUGUGUCAAGCUCGGAUUGCCUUAGACAGGUGCAAUUUAAGAACAGCUUUCAUCCUCUUUUCUCUCAUAUUGUCACACUAUGUGUUCUGACUUCUGGCUCCUUUCCUCACAAGAAGCUCACCCAGCUGGAACUCUUAUGGGACCUUGGCACCAGAGACCACAAAUUCCUCUUUGAAGUUUUCUAACAGCAACAAUGGUAUUUCUGACUUGGCUUUCUUGUAUUUCUCUCACGUUAACAAAAUUGGUUCAGCAUCUACCAUGGGCUACAUGCUGAGCUACAGAGUUUCGCUCUGUCGCCCAGGCUGGAGUGCAGUGGCGCGCGAUCUCGGUUCACUGCAAGCUCCACCUCCCGGGUUCACGCCAUUCUCCUGCCUCAGCCUCCUGAGUAGCUGGGACUACAGGCGCCCGCCACCACACCCAGAUACAUGAAAAGAAAGAAGGAGAGAAGGAAGAAAGGAGGGCGGAAGGAAAGGAAGAAGGGAGAGAAGAAGAGAAGAAAGAAGCAGAGAAAGGAAGAGAAAAGAAAUUACGGCCAGUGCGGUGGCUCACGCCUGUAAUCCUAGCACUUUGGGAGGCCUAAGCGGGCUGAUCACCUGAGGUCAGGAGUUCGUAAGCCAGCCUGGCCAACAUGGUGAAACCCUAUCUCUACUAAAAAUACAAAAAUCAGCAGGGCAUGGUGGUGCGUGCCUGUAAUCCCAGCUACCUGGGAGGCUGAGGUAGGAGAAUCGCUGGAACCCGAGAGGCGGAGGCUGCAGUGAGUUGAGAUCAUGUCACUGCACUCCAGGCUGGGCAACAGAGUGAGACUCUGUCUCAGAAAAAAAAAAAAA
rnacentral:lncRNA from 1 species